rnacentral:rRNA from 1 species
UAGGAUUGUAAAAUUCUUUCACCGAGGACGAUAAUGACGGUACUCGGAGAAGAAGCCCCGGCUAACUUCGUGCCAGCAGCCGCGGUAAUACGAAGGGGGCUAGCGUUGCUCGGAAUUACUGGGCGUAAAGGGAGCGUAGGCGGAUAGUUUAGUCAGAGGUGAAAGCCCAGGGCUCAACCUUGGAAUUGCCUUUGAUACUGGCUAUCUUGAGUACGGAAGAGGUAUGUGGAACUCCGAGUGUAGAGGUGAAAUUCGUAGAUAUUCGGAAGAACACCAGUGGCGAAGGCGACAUACUGGUCCGUUACUGACGCUGAGGCUCGAAAGCGUGGGGAGCAAACAGGAUUAGAUACCCUGGUAGUCCACGCUGUAAACGAUGAGUGCUAGUUGUCGGCAUGCAUGCAUGUCGGUGACGCAGCUAACGCAUUAAGCACUCCGCCUGGG